AGGGAUUUGGGUCGAAAAUAUGGACGGUCCGUCCUAAAUAGGGACACGUGGGAUGAAUGUUGACAUGUAAAUUAUUUUCAAAUUAUGAAAAAUGCAUUAAUUAUAUUUUGAUAUUUGAAAUGCAAAAUCUAAACUUCAACAUGCUUUUCUACCUCAUAAUUCUUUUCAAAUACAUUUGGUCUGUUUUUCUCUCUCACACUCCAGUUGUUGCAGACUACAUGUCCCUUGAUGCUUUAAAGGACCACUCUAGGCACCCAGACCACUUCAGCUUAAUGAAGUGG